AUUGAACGCUGGCGGCAUGCCUUACACAUGCAAGUCGAACGGCAGCACGGGAGCAAUCCUGGUGGCGAGUGGCGAACGGGUGAGUAAUAUAUCGGAACGUGCCCAGUAGUGGGGGAUAACUGCUCGAAAGAGCAGCUAAUACCGCAUACGACCUGAGGGUGAAAGCGGGGGAUCGCAAGACCUCGCGCUAUUGGAGCGGCCGAUAUCAGAUUAGCUAGUUGGCGGGGUAAAAGCUCACCAAGGCGACGAUCUGUAGCUGGUCUGAGAGGACGACCAGCCGCACUGGGACUGAGACACGGCCCGAACUCCUACGGGAGGCAGAAGUGGGGAAUUUUGGACAAUGGGCGCAAGCCUGAUCCAGCCAUGCCGCGUGCGGGAAGAAGGCCUUCGGGUUGUAAACCGCUUUUGUCAGGGAAGAAACGGCUCCUACUAAUACUGGGGGCUAAUGACGGUACCUGAAGAAUAAGCACCGGCUAACUACGUGCCAGCCGCCGCAGUAA
rnacentral:rRNA from 1 species